rnacentral:rRNA from 1 species
GGUUCAAGGAUGAAAGACGGUUUCGGCUGUCACUUACAGAUGGACCCGCGGCGCAUUAGCUAGUUGGUGGGGUAAUGGCUCACCAAGGCGACGAUGCGUAGCCGACCUGAGAGGGUGAUCGGCCACACUGGGACUGAGACACGGCCCAGACUCCUACGGGAGGCAGCAGUAGGGAAUCUUCCGCAAUGGACGAAAGUCUGACGGAGCAACGCC